GCCGGGCCUGGCCUGGCCUCCCCUCCCCUCCCCUCCCCUCCCCUCCCGCGGGCCCGGGAGCCCCCUGCCCCCUGAGGCGCCGGCAGGGCUGCCUGAGGGGAGCCGGUCAUGCCUCCCCUCUGCGGCUGCCGCUGCGAGACCAGGUGCCCUCCGCCCCCUGAGGCGCCGGCAGGGCUGCCUGAGGGGAGCCGGGCGUCCCUCCCUUCAGCCGCCGCCGCUCCCCUCCCCCGGCUGCGGGCCGGGCGGCGCCGGGCUCUGCGGAGAGCCCGCGGAGCUGUGUGCCCUCGCCGCGUUGGCGUCGGGGCGGCGUGGCUGCGCUGCCGGCGGCCUGUGUGUGUUCCGACGGGCCGCGGGGCCUGGCUGCUCGCCGCUGCGGCCGCUGGCUGAGGGUCUGGCGGGGGACGGGCCCCCUUGGCGAGGGGGGAGGGGGCGCCGCGGGCCGCGCUGCCGCCGCUCCUUCACCCUCAGGGGCGGGGGGCGCCCUGCGGCGUGGGUCUGCGGGGCUCCGUGGGCAGGGAGGCAGCGUAUGUGACAGUGGUUCAAUAAGAAGAAGAAGGAAAAAUAACAUCUGUUAUUUACUUUCUGCAAAUGGCUGUGUUUUGCCUAGACGGAUGAGCUCUCUCUAGAGCACUUAGAGGACUGGGAGCAGGCACGUUGCAUUUGGCACAGAAGUCUUGGAGGCUGUCCUAACUGGAAGGUUGCUGCUCAUGAAGUAUUCCUGCCAUCUGCCUGCUUUCUCCCCGGAUUGUUUGCAGUUCUUCUGUUGCCUCUUUGGUUGGAAUAUGCUUUGUUAUUUCAGAUCCUUUGAGGAAACGGUUCAUUGUCAGAACAGAAUGCAUUGUUGUUUAUCUGCUGAAGUGCCUAAAUUUAAUGGUAUUGAUUAAAUAAUCCUAGUUUAAUAAACACUUAGGAGUUUG